rnacentral:rRNA from 1 species
UACGAAGGGGGCUAGCGUUUCUCGGAAUCACUGGGCGUAAAGCGCACGUAGGCGGACUCUUAAGUCGGUGGUGAAAUCCUGGAGCUCAACUCCAGAACUGCCUUCGAUACUGAGAGUCUCGAGUCCGGGAGAGGUGAGUGGAACUGCGAGUGUAGAGGUGAAAUUCGUAGAUAUUCGCAAGAACACCAGUGGCGAAGGCGGCUCACUGGCCCGGUACUGACGCUGAGGUGCGAAAGCGUGGGGAGCAAACAGG